AUUUUGUCAUGUUAAAGCCUUGUAUAGAUGCUAUAUCAUGGUUCAAUAGGAUUUGAUCAUUAUUGAAGGUCUAACAACGGCUAUUAAAUGAAUUAAAUGAAAGAGCACAAAAAAUAAUAACUUAUAUCUGUAUGCAGAUAUGUGCCUUAAAAGUGUAUAAAGCAACACCAAUAUUAAGUUAAGCAACAGGAAGUAAUAAAUAUUUUGGAUAAUGGACAUGGGAAUAUAUACUGUAAAAGCAGAAUAUUUUCGUGGAUGACUUAAUUUUGUUUAUUUCGUGGAAAGAAUAUAUCCACAAGGUAAAACCGCCAAAAACAUUUUACUUUCAUAUAAUGUAACUUCCAAUUGAUGGAAACCACAAAAUUAUCUUUUAAAACUACAAAACCACGAAAUUUUAACCCCAC
rnacentral:lncRNA from 1 species